rnacentral:rRNA from 1 species
UACGUAGGGUGCAGGCGUUAAUCGGAAUUACUGGGCGUAAAGGGCUCGUAGGCGGCCAACUAAGUCCGACGUGAAAUCCCCAGGCUUAACCUGGGAACUGCGUCGGAUACUGGAUGGCUUGAAUCCGGGGGAGGGAUGCGGAAUUCCAGGUGUAGCGGUGAAAUGCGUAGAUAUCUGGAGGAACACCGGUGGCGAAGGCGGCAUCCUGGACCGGAAUUGACGCUGAUGAGCGAAAGCCAGGGGAGCAAACGGG